ensembl:lncRNA
GCUUCACUUCACUCGUGGGCUUCCGUAGCGCGCCCCGCGCAUUGCACAGUAAGAGACGACAUGGCUGCCCCCGCGAGUAGAAAACAACUCUGUUCAAAGAAAGGAAAUUGGAAUUCUGUCAUUUGGAACUGGUUCGGAUUUGAUCCAAGCGACGAUCAACAGACCAAGCUGUGCUGCAAAACUUGUUUUAAGACUGUAGCAACUGGAAGUAGCAGCAAGACAAACUUGUUUCAGCACUUAAAAAACAAGCACCCAGAUGAGUGGGAGAAGAGCAAGCGGCUUCGACACGAAGACGGCACCCCGAGCACAGCUCCGCCAAAACAGACAACACUUGUUGAGAGAUUCGCCAACUGUGUACCGUAUGACAAGAGUGGAGCCCGCUUUAAGGCAAUUACAGAGGCCAUCACUUUGUACAUUGCCACAGACAUGCUUCCCAUUUAUUCCGUGGAAAAGCGAGGCUUCAAUCAGUUGCUGAAUGUUUUGGAUGCGAUAUACACCAUACCCAGUCGAAGAUAUUUCGCUGAUGUGGCGCUGCCUCAAUUGUAUAGUAGUACUCGUCAAAAGAUCCACAAAGAGUUGGAAGAGGUGGCUUUAAGCAUUUUUUUGUCUUGCACUUUUUUUGAUGCACAAUGAGGGACGUCUGCAGCGACUGAGAAAGAGUCUCACCACAUCCUGACAUGAGGAAAAACACUUUAUUGAAAACUACAAUGAGAAAAACUAUCAGACAGCAGACGGCUGCAUUCAAGUCUGUAGCUGCUGAAUUCAUGGAUGAAUCAUCUGGCACUAGAGAGGAAGACCAUCAAACAUCCAUGUCAGCUGAUGGAGGUCCAAGAGUCUCACCGAACAAACAACCUACAGAGUGAAGACCUCGAACCUGAUUGGACAGCCUCCUAUUCAGCCACAUGUGUGAACAAAUGCCUCUAAGCUGAUUUGUUUUCUAAAAUAAAUCUAGUUUGAGUCC